GAUGAACGCUGGCGGCGUGCCUAAUACAUGCAAGUCGAGCGAACGGACGAGAAGCUUGCUUUUCUGAUGUUAGCGGCGGACGGGUGAGUAACACGUGGAUAACCUACCUAUAAGACUGGGAUAACUUCGGGAAACCGGAGCUAAUACCGGAUAAUAUUUUGAACCGCAUGGUUCAAAAGUGAAAGACGGUCUUGCUGUCACUUAUAGAUGGAUCCGCGCUGCAUUAGCUAGUUGGUAAGGUAACGGCUUACCAAGGCAACGAUGCAUAGCCGACCUGAGAGGGUGAUCGGCCACACUGGAACUGAGACACGGUCCAGACUCCUACGGGAGGCAGCAGUAGGGAUUCUUCCGCAAAGGGCGAAAGCCUGACGGAGCAACGCCGCGUGAGUGAUGAAGGUCUUCGGAUCGUAAAACUCUGUUAUUAGGGAAGAACAUAUGUGUAAGUAACUGUGCACAUCUUGACGGUACCUAAUCAGAAAGCCACGGCUAACUACGUG
rnacentral:rRNA from 1 species